rnacentral:lncRNA from 1 species
CUCAGAGUCAGGGACACAGCAGCGUCCGGCGAGAUGAAGGCGCUCGGGGCUGUCCUGCUUGCCCUCUUGCUGUUCGGGCGGCCAGGGAGAGGGCAGACACAGCAGGAGGAAGAGGAAGAGGACGAGGACCACGGGCCAGAUGACUACGACGAGGAAGAUGAGGAUGAGGUGGAAGAGGAGGAGACCAACAGGCUCCCUGGUGGCAGGAGCAGAGUGCUGCUGCGGUGCUACACCUGCAAGUCCCUGCCCAGGGACGAGCGCUGCAACCUGACGCAGAACUGCUCACAUGGCCAGACCUGCACAACCCUCAUUGCCCACGGGAACACCGUGAUGACUGGAGCUCAGCAACCACUUUGCACCAUGAGGCAGCACUGAGCACGGUAGGGCAGCCUGGUGAGAGGGGCCUAGCUCGCUGCCGACAGAAGUCACUGCCUACCUCAGGGUCCCCUUACCUGGGUGGGAAAUAAAUUUCUGCUGUGUUGAAGCU